UACACGUUUUGUUGAAAAAGCUGGUACGUUUCGUCUGCUGUCUGCCAACCACUAAGCCUGUCUAUUAUUUAAUCCAUUAAUAUGGCUGGAAAGCCCAUUUUGUAUUCUUACUAUCGAAGCUCCUGCUCUUGGCGAGUGAGGAUUGCAUUGGCAUUGAAAGGAAUCGAACAUGAAUAUUCAGCGGUGAAUCUGUUAAAAUCCGAG